rnacentral:rRNA from 1 species
AACGAACGCUGGCGGCAUGCCUAACACAUGCAAGUCGAACGAGACCUUCGGGUCUAGUGGCGCACGGGUGCGUAACGCGUGGGAACCUGCCCUUAGGUUCGGAAUAACUCCCCGAAAGGGGUGCUAAUACCGGAUAAUGUCUUCGGACCAAAGAUUUAUCGCCUUUGGAUGGGCCCGCGUUUGAUUAGCUAGUUGGUAGGGUAAAAGCCUACCAAGGCGACGAUCCAUAGCUGGUCUGAGAGGAUGAUCAGCCACACUGGGACUGAGACACGGCCCAGACUCCUACGGGAGGCAGCAGUAGGGAAUAUUGGACAAUGGGCGAAAGCCUGAUCCAGCAAUGCCGCGUGAGUGAUGAAGGCCUUAGGGUUGUAAAGCUCUUUUACCCGGGAUGAUAAUGACAGUACCGGGAGAAUAAGCUCCGGCUAACUCCGUG